GUGCUCGCUUCAACAGCACAUAUACUAAAACUGGAACAAUACAGAGAAGAAAGCAUGGCCCCUGUGCAAGAAUGACACGCAAAUUCAUGAAGUGUUCCACAUUUUU
rnacentral:snRNA from 1 species